GGCCGACUAGCUCAGUUGGUUAGAGCGUCGUGCUAAUAUCAAUGGCUGCAAGCCACUGAUUAACGCGAAGGUCUUGGGUUCGAUCCCCACGUUGGCCA